CAUCGUUGCCCCAGUGCCUUGGCCACGUGCUAGGCACCGAGCGGGGCGAAUGUUGGCUUCCCGCGAGCAGCGUCUCACGGUUGGUUGAAAACUGAGUCCGCGGUGGAGGGCGCCGUGAUGGAUGGUGGCUGAGUUAAAUCUCGAGACCUAUCGUGUGUGUCACUUCCACCAGCUUUGUGACUCUGUGACCCAUGGGGCCUGUUGGCCGCCUAUGACGGGA
rnacentral:rRNA from 1 species